AGAAUCAGGCCAAGGCAGUCAGAGUACUGACAGGGCUGCCCUUGCCUGUAGAGCAGACUACUGACUCUCAGGACUCCUGCUCAGCAGUGACCUUAGUUCUAAACUUCUCGGCUAAUCUGACCUUGCUGCAAAAAGAUCAACCUUCACUGUUUUUUAUAUCCACAUGAAAGCUUAACAAGAGUAGAGAGUAAGCUGAAAUCUAGACUUUGGCCCGCUCAGGACACAUGGUCACCAAAUGGUGAGGUCCUCACUCAAAACCCCAGCAAGACAAGAGGAGCUCUGUCUGCCCAGCAGCCUUUCAGAGGCAUUAAGGGCAAGAGAGAAGGGUUGCUGAUGGUACAGCCUGGAUAAACGGACCCACAAAAUACAAGGU